UGAAUAGCGGACCCUACGGUUAGCAAGUUGAUUAGCGGAGCCUACGGUUAGCAGGUUGAUUAGCAGAGCCUACGGUUAGCAGGUUGAUUAGCGGACCCUACGUUCAGCAGGUUGAUUAGCGGACCCUACGGUUAGCAGGUUGAUCAGCGGAGUCUACGGUUAGCAGGUUGAUUAGCGGACCCUACGGUUAGCAGGUUGAUUGACCCGCUCUACCACCUGAGCCACAGCCACCCUAUGUUACCGAAAAAUGUUUUUAUGUAAGUAAUGAAAGCAGUAUAUUACAUAAGAGACCACUUUUCAGACAAAAACACAAUGAAGGCUGCUGGGUUUUGCUGCAAAAAUAAGAAGCGAGUGCGACAGUCAAAGUCUCCAGAAGAACCGUGUCUGGAUCUGCAAAAUGCUCAAUAAAACUUAACAGCUUAUUUCCUUAUAAAACUACACAAACUGUACCAGACUAUUUCAUUUUUUUCAUUUACUACUGUUUACGGUAUUUUUUUAAAAUGUAGAAACAUUUAAUUUCAAAGCAUUGUCAAAACAUUUAAAGGCAUCUUUGCAGCAUUCCUUUGCAUGUACCUAAAACUUUUGCACAGUACUGUAA
ensembl:lncRNA